rnacentral:rRNA from 1 species
AUUGAACGCUGGCGGCGUGCUUAACACAUGCAAGUCGAUCGGUAACAGGUGUAGCAAUACAUGCUGACGAGAGGCGGACGGGUGAGUAAUGCUUGGGAAUCUGCCUAUUAGUGGGGGACAACCCGGGGAAACUCGGGCUAAUACCGCAUACGCUACUACGGAGGAAAGCCGGGGACCGCAAGGCCUGGCGCUAAUAGAUGAGCCCAAGUCGGAUUAGCUAG